GCGUGGUGGGAUAUUUUGGUUUUGUUUCAAACUUUGGUUAAAUCAAUAUUAAUUAAUGUUUUAUUUUUUAUUUUUAUAUUUGAAUUACUUUUAAAUACAUGUUGAAAAUUUGAGUGUUGUUAGGGACACCACCAUUCUAUAACCCAAAUAGAUCAUAUCAGUAAUUUUUUUUUUAUUGCCAUAUUUCCUUCAAUUUCCUUCUUUCUAUAUCUUAUGUUUUUG
rnacentral:lncRNA from 1 species